rnacentral:rRNA from 1 species
AAUUUAACGGCGCGGUAUCCUAACCGUGCAAAGGUAGCGUAAUCACUUGUCUUCUAAAUAAAGACCCGUAUGAACGGCUAAAUGAGGACCUAACUGUCUCCUAUGGCUAAUUAAUGAAACUAAUCUUCCAGUACAAAAGCUGGAAUACCCCCAUAAGACGAGAAGACCCUGUGGAGCUUUAAUGGCCGCGCUAAACACAUACCACUAUCAAUGUUAUAACGCCUAAUUUUAGUUGGGGCAACUGUAAGACAAAAAAGAACUCUUACAAUACGGAUAUCCGUACCAAGGCCUACACGCCCAAGUAGUAAUAUAAAAGACCCAGUAAAACUGAUCGACGAACCAAGUUACCCCAGGGAUAACAGCGCAAUCCCCUUUUAGAGUCCCUAUCGCCAAGGGGGUUUACGACCUCGAUGUUGGAUCAGGACACCCAAAUAGUGCAGCCGCUAUUAAAGGUUCGUUUGUUCAACGAUUA